AUUUAUGUAGCUAAAUUUGAUAGCAUAGUAUUGAAGAUACUAAGGUAGUUUUAAACUCUUAAAUA
rnacentral:tRNA from 1 species